rnacentral:rRNA from 1 species
CAGGUUGAAGGUGCGGUAAAACGCACUGGAGGACCGAACCAGGGCACGUUGAAAAGUGCUUGGAUGACUUGUGGGUAGCGGAGAAAUUCCAAACGAACUUGGAGAUAGCUGGUUCUCUCCGAAAUAGCUUUAGGGCUAGCGUCGACAUUAAGAUUCUUGGAGGUAGAGCACUGUUUGGGUGAGGGGUCCAUCCCGGAUUACCAAUCUCAGAUAAACUCCGAAUGCCAAUGAAUUAUGGUCGGCAGUCAGACUGCGAGUGCUAAGAUCCGUAGUCGAAAGGGAAACAGCCCAGACCACCAGCUAAGGUCCCAAAAUAAUUGUUAAGUGGAAAAGGAUGUGGGGUUGCACAGACAACUAGGAUGUUAGCUUAGAAGCAGCUAUUCAUUCAAAGAGUGCGUAAUAGCUCACUAGUCGAGUGACCCUGCGCCGAAAAUGUACCGGGGCUAAAACAAUUUACCGAAGCUGUGGAUACCUUUAUAGGUAUGGUAGGAGAGCGUUCUAUGUGUGGCGAAGGUGUACCGUGAGGAGCGCUGGAACGCAUAGAAGUGAGAAUGCCGGUAUGAGUAGCGAAAGACAGGUGAGAAUCCUGUCCACCGUAAGACUAAGGUUUCCAGGGGAAGGCUCGUCCGCCCUGGGUUAGUCGGGACCUAAGGAGAGACCGAAAGGUGUAUCCGAUGGACAACAGGUUGAUAUUCCUGUACUAGAGUAUGUAGUGAUGGAGGGACGCAGUAGGCUAACUAAAGCAGACGAUUGGAAGUGUCUGUCUAAGCAGUGAGGUGUGAAUUGAGUUAAAUGCUUAGUUCUAUAACAUUGAGCUGUGAUGGGGAGCGAAGUUUAGUAGCGAAGUUAGUGACGUCACACUGCCAAGAAAAGCUUCUAGCGUUUAAACAUACUCUACCCGUACCGCAAACCGACACAGGUAGUCGAGGCGAGUAGCCUCAGGUGAGCGAGAGAACUCUCGUUAAGGAACUCGGCAAAAUGACCCCGUAACUUCGGGAGAAGGGGUGCUGGUAGCAAUACCAGCCGCAGUGAAUAGGCCCAGGCGACUGUUUAUCAAAAACACAGGUCUCUGCAAAAUCGAAAGAUGACGUAUAGGGGCUGACGCCUGCCCGGUGCUGGAAGGUUAAGAGGAGAGGUUAGCGCAAGCGAAGCUUUGAAUUGAAGCCCCAGUAAACGGCGGCCGUAACUAUAACGGUCCUAAGGUAGCGAAAUUCCUUGUCGGGUAAGUUCCGACCCGCACGAAAGGCGUAACGAUUUGGGCACUGUCUCAACGAUGGACUCGGUGAAAUCAUAGUACCUGUGAAGAUGCAGGUUACCCGCGACAGGACGGAAAGACCCCAUGGAGCUUUACUGUAGUUUGAUAUUGAGUGUUUGUGUCACAUGUACAGGAUAGGUAGGAGCUGAAGAAUCCGGGACGCCAGUUUCGGAGGAGGCAACGGUGGGAUACUACCCUUGUGACAUGACCACUCUAACCCGCACCCCUUACCGGGGUGGGAGACAGUGUCAGACGGGCAGUUUGACUGGGGCGGUCGCCUCCUAAAAUGUAACGGAGGCGCCCAAAGGUUCCCUCAGAAUGGUUGGAAAUCAUUCGUAGAGUGUAAAGGUAUAAGGGAGCUUGACUGCGAGAGCUACAACUCGAGCAGGGACGAAAGUCGGGCUUAGUGAUCCGGUGGUUCCGCAUGGAAGGGCCAUCGCUCAACGGAUAAAAGCUACCCUGGGGAUAACAGGCUUAUCUCCCCCAAGAGUUCACAUCGACGGGGAGGUUUGGCACCUCGAUGUCGGCUCAUCGCAUCCUGGGGCUGAAGUCGGUCCCAAGGGUUGGGCUGUUCGCCCAUUAAAGCGGUACGCGAGCUGGGUUCAGAACGUCGUGAGACAGUUCGGUCCCUAUCCGUCGCGGGCGU